rnacentral:rRNA from 1 species
UACGUAGGUGGCAAGCGUUAUCCGGAAUUAUUGGGCGUAAAGCGCGCGUAGGCGGCGUGUUUAGUCUGAUGUGAAAGCCCCGGGCUCAACCGGGGAAGGGCAUUGGAAACUGGUACUCUUGAGUGCAGAAGAGGAGAGUGGAAUUCCAUGUGUAGCGGUGAAAUGCGCAGAGAUAUGGAGGAACACCAGUGGCGAAGGCGGCUCUCUGGUCUGCAACUGACGCUGAUGUGCGAAAGCGUGGGGAGCAAACAGG